rnacentral:rRNA from 1 species
GAUGAACGCUAGCGAUAGGCCUAACACAUGCAAGUCGAGGGGCAUCACAUGAAGUAGCAAUACGGAUGGUGGCGACCGGCGCACGGGUGAGUAACACGUAUGCAACCUGCCUUCAACAAGGGGAUAACCCGUUGAAAGACGGACUAAUACCCUGUAACACAGGGGUCCCGCAUGGGAAUAUUUGUUAAAGGACAACCGGUUGAAGAUGGGCAUGCGUUCCAUUAGCUAGUUGGCGGGGUAACGGCCCACCAAGGCAACGAUGGAUAGGGGAACUGAGAGGUUUAUCCCCCACACUGGUACUGAGACACGGACCAGACUCCUACGGGAGGCAGCAGUGAGGAAUAUUGGUCAAUGGACGCAAGUCUGAACCAGCCACGUCGCGUGAAGGAAGACGGCCCUACGGGUUGUAAACUUCUUUUAUACGGGAAUAAAGUGCCCCACGCGUGGGGUUUUGCAUGUACCGUAUGAAUAGGAUCGGCUAACUCCGUGCCAGCAGCCG